AUUGAACGCUGGCGGCAGGCCUAACACAUGCAAGUCGAACGAGUGGCGGACGGGUGCGUAAUGUCUGGGAAACUGCCCGAUGGAGGGUGAUACCUCCUGGAAACGGUAGCUAAUACCGCAUACCAUCGGAUGUGCCCCGCUGGGAUUAGCUAGUAGGUGGGGUAAUGGCUCACCUAGGCGACGAUCCCUAGCUGGUCUGAGAGGAUGACCAGCCAAACGGGAACUGAGACACGGGCCAGAAUCCUACGGGAGUCAGCAGUGGGGAAUAUUGCACAAUGGGCGGAAGACUGAUGCAGCCAUGCAGCGUGUAUGAAGAAGGCCUUCGGGUUGUAAAGUACUUUCAGCGAGGAGGCGUUACUCGCAGAAGAAGCACCGGCUAACUCCGUGCCAGCAGCCGCGGUAAUUC
rnacentral:rRNA from 1 species